UACACACACACACACACACACACACACACACACACACACACUCGCGCGCACGCACGCACGCAGCAGCACUCGCACACCCCGGGGAGAACGCAGCGCGCCAGAACGAAGUCAGGUCGCCCUCCUGGGAAACCAAAGCAUCGGCUCUCUGGACGAGCGCGGAGAUAGUCUGUCCUUAUCAGCGUGGAGAGGACACCUCAGCUGGGGACAGAUUAGAGACGCAUCUUGCUCGAGAGAUGCUUCGUUUUCGUUUUCGUAUAGAGCGCGCGGGGGGCGGGGGCGCAGAAGGGGUAGCUUCUUCCUAGCGCCUUUGGUAAACAUACACACUCGGACAUACACACGCCAACGCGCAUACACACGCCCUCCCAAGUAGAGUGAAUCCGGGCAGGGAGGGGGAAGAAGGAGGAGGACGUUUUGUAUUCAGUGCACAGCUCAAUCUGGAAAGUACAAAUACACACAUGAACCAAUUAGUCGAUCGCCCACUCAGGGUGGGUGGUAGAUGACCACCCCGAUUUAGGAUCUAGCAGGAAACAAGUGAUGACAGAGGUGUCAGGCGCUUUGUGGAUAUUUAUGUGACUCUUUUUCAUUGCCAUUUGGAAACUCCUCACGCAGGAGUCAAGGAAACUCCAAUCCUCCUUAAACUUCACUGCGGAGAAACAGAAUUCUGAGAAAAAACAGCCACCAAGGACAUCCUUUUUAAAUACAAGUACAAGACACAGGAGAAAGAAAGAAAAAAAGGAUUUUCCAGAAGUGUUCCUCAAAGGAAAAAAAAAAAAGCGCAUAGUUAGUGAGUGUCUUGAUGAAAAGUUUCUUCAUAAAAACUACAACAGAGGACUUCAGGUUUCAACUAAGAUGGCACCAUGGGGAGAUCCAGAAUGCCCUUCUACAGACACAUGGGUGGAUGAGAAAACACAAACAUCAAAAACAGUAAUAUUGAAUUCUCAAGAACUACAAGUUAGGAUCCUGACGGAUUAUACUGCUGUGGAUCAUUAUUUCAAGUUUCACCAACAUUUUCCUGUUUUAAAAACACUGGAUUCAUUUUGAAAAUAAGAUUUUUUAAUAAAAA
rnacentral:lncRNA from 1 species